UACGUAGGGUGCAAGCGUUGUCCGGAAUUAUUGGGCGUAAAGAGCUCGUAGGCGGUCCGGUAAGUCCGCUGUGAAAGUCGGGGGGCUCAACCCUCGAAUGCCGGUGGAUACUGUCGGGCUAGAGUGCGGAAGAGGCGAGUGGAAUUCCUGGUGUAGCGGUGAAAUGCGCAGAUAUCAGGAGGAACACCGGUGGCGAAGGCGGCCUUCUGGACAGUGACUGACGCUGGAGAACGCGAAAGCGUGGGGAGCAAACAGG
rnacentral:rRNA from 1 species